rnacentral:rRNA from 1 species
UACAGAGGGUGCAAGCGUUGUUCGGAAUCAUUGGGCGUAAAGGGCGUGUAGGCGGUUUGUUAAGUCAUGCGUGAAAUCCCUCGGCUCAACCGGGGAACGACGCUUGAAACUGGCAAGCUAGAGUACCAAAGAGGGCGGUGGAAUUCCCGGUGUAGCGGUGAAAUACGUAGAUAUCGGAAGGAACAUCAGUGGCGAAAGCGGCUUCCUGGACCAGCACCGACGUUCAGGCACGAAAGCGUGGGGAGCAAACAGG